rnacentral:lncRNA from 1 species
UCUACACCUGAACCAUCCAUUUCUGACACCAUGAUUUACUACAGCAACUAUUAUGGUGGCUAUGGGUAUGGUGGGCUUGGCUGUGGCUAUGGCUGUGGUUAUCGUGGCUAUGGAUGUGGUUAUGGUGGCUAUGGAGGCUAUGGAAAUGGCUACUACUGCCCAUCUUGCUAUGGAAGAUAUUGGUCAUAUGGUUUCUACUGAACAAUUCUAGAGCUCACCAGAUUUGUCUGCUUGUGAAACCUGGAUUCUCAUGCUGCUCUUGUUCAUCUGAUCCU